GAGGCUGCACGCGGCUGUGCCCCCGGGCCAGUUGGCGGAGGCUGGAGUAGUUAUUACCCUUGUCUUUUGCGCACUUGUUGUUUCCUGGGCGGGUUCGCCCGCCUCCAGGACUCCAUGAUAAACCUUUAUGCAGUUGCAAUUAGCAUCAGUACAACAAAUGUAAAAAUCAUUUACAACUUUCAACAACGGAUCUCUUGGUUCUGGCAUCGAUGAAGAACGCAGCGAAAUGCGAUACGUAGUGUGAAUUGCAGAAUUCAGUGAAUCAUCGAAUCUUUGAACGCACAUUGCGCCCUUUGGUAUUCCAAAGGGCAUGCCUGUUCGAGCGUCAUUUGUACCUUCAAGCUUUGCUUGGUGUUGGGCGUUUUUUGUCUUUGGUCACCAAAGACUCGCCUUAAAACGAUUGGCAGCCGGCCUACUGGUUUCGCAGCGCAGCACAUUUUUGCGCUUGCAAUCAGCAAAAGAGGGCGGCACUCCAUCAAGACUCCCCACGUUUGACCUCGGAUCAGGUAGGGAUACCCGCUGAACUUAAG
rnacentral:rRNA from 1 species